GACGAACGCUGGCGGCGUGCCUAAUACAUGCAAGUAGAACGCUGAAGGAGGAGCUUGCUUCUCCGGAUGAGUUGCGAACGGGUGAGUAACGCGUAGGUAACCUGCCUGGUAGCGGGGGAUAACUAUUGGAAACGAUAGCUAAUACCGCAUAACAGUAGAUGUUGCAUGACAUUUGCUUAAAAGGUGCAAUUGCAUCACUACCAGAUGGACCUGCGUUGUAUUAGCUAGUUGGUGAGGUAACGGCUCACCAAGGCGACGAUACAUAGCCGACCUGAGAGGGGGGUCGGCCACACUGGGACUGAGACACGGCCCAGACUCCUACGGGGGGCAGCAGUAGGGAAUCUUCGGCAAUGGACGGAAGUCUGACCGAGCAACGCCGCGUGAGUGAAGAAGGUUUUCGGAUCGUAAAGCUCUGUUGUAAGAGAAGAACGAGUGUGAGAGUGGAAAGUUCACACUGUGACGGUAUCUUACCAGAAAGGGACGGCUAACUACGUG
rnacentral:rRNA from 1 species